rnacentral:misc_RNA from 1 species
GAUGAAGAACGAAGCGAAAUGCGAUAAGUAAUGUGAAUUGCAGAAUUCAGUGAAUCAUCGAAUCUUUGAACGCACAUUGCGCCCGCCAGUAUUCUGGCGGGCAUGCCUGUUCGAGCGUCAUUACAACCCUCAGGCCCCCGGGCCUGGCGUUGGGGAUCGGCGGAAGCCCCCUGUGGGCACACGCCGUCCCUCAAAUACAGUGGCGGUCCCGCCGCAGCUUCCAUUGCGUAGUAGCUAACACCUCGCAACUGGAGAGCGGCGCGGCCAUGCCGUAAAACACCCAACUUCUGAAUGUUGACCUCGAAUCAGGCAGGAAUACCCGCUGAACUUAAGCAUAUCAAUAAGCGGAGGA